UACGUAGGUGGCGAGCGUUGUCCGGAUUUACUGGGUGUAAAGGGCGUGUAGGCGGGACUGCAAGUCAGAUGUGAAAUACCGGGGCUUAACCCCGGGGCUGCAUUUGAAACUGCGGUUCUUGAGUGCGGGAGAGGAAAGCGGAAUUCCUAGUGUAGCGGUGAAAUGCGUAGAUAUUAGGAGGAACACCGGUGGCGAAGGCGGCUUUCUGGACCGUAACUGACGCUGAGGCGCGAAAGCGUGGGUAGCAA
rnacentral:rRNA from 1 species